rnacentral:tRNA from 1 species
GCGCCGUUAGCUCAAUUGGCAGAGCAUCUGACUCUUAAUCAGGCGGUUGAAGGUUCGAUUCCUUCACGGCGCAUCA